GAGUGGUGAAGAGCAUAUUCCAGUUCCCGAUGGGAGAAGAUGCCAUUAAGAGUCCAAAGGGAAUUGAUGCGAGGGGAGGAAGUAGGGCAUAGUGUCCCUUAGGGUGUCGUCGGCAGAAGUGGCUAGUUAGUGCCUGCACCUGGGCAGUUGGCGUCGUGAUGUGGUCUCCAGAGGAAGAGACUAAGAGGCCCCAAGAGUGCUGGGGACUUUGGUCAGUCGACCGAAGUCUCCGAAAGAGGCGGAAGAGAGAGCCGGAUUCAGCACCCACCCGGCAGAGCUGGUCCCACCAGCGACGUCGAGCUAGGCGAGAUUCGCGCCGGAGAAGAGCGGAAAGCCUACGGUACUCCAUCCACCACGUUCCGUCAGCUAACCUACGAGCCAGGUGGAAGGCUCUACGUUUCUGAGCAUGUAGGCG
rnacentral:lncRNA from 1 species